AGAAGGAAAAGAAAGGGAAGUUUAGAGCGUGAGGCUUACAGAGGACGUGCGGCUGGCGAGAGAACGAAGGAGAGGAGAAUAAGGAAAGAAAAGAAAGAGAAGAGAAGAGAAUAUAGAGAGGUACCGGCCGCUGAGUAUAGAGAGGAGGUGCUGGCCGCUAAGUAUAUAGAGAGAGGAGGUGCCGCUGCUGAUAGAGAGAGAGAGAGAGGAGGUACCGCUGAGUAUAAAGAGAGAGAGAGAUAGAGAGAGAGAGAGAGAGGAGGUACCGCUGAGUAUAAAGAGAGAGAGAGAGAGAGAGGGAUGAGCUGUCGCUACUGAGAUAGAGGAGGUGCUGCUACAUUCUAAGUCCAAAAAAAACCCUAGAGGAAAAGGAGAAAUCAGAGAUAAAAAUACAGAGAGAACAAAGAGAAGGGAGAAUACAAAGAGAGGAGGUGCUGUUGCAUAUUCAAGUAAAAAAAAACCUAAAAUCAUAUCGGUUGAGUCAAAAUGUAGGCUAAGUUUGAGAUGAUGACCAAUAUCAGAGUACAACAUAGGCUCAACCACCAUUUGGGCCAGAAAUCAUGUGUAGCACACCUCCAUCAAAUGGCAGAAGAGAAACGACAAGACAAUAGCCCCCCCCCCCCCCYCCCAAGGCGAGAGGAACGUGUUUUAGGAGGGCUCAUUCAAAUUCCUAGGGGGAAUUUUUUGAUCCUCAGGCCAGAGAAUUAGCUGCAAAGAUGGAGAACUUUGUGAUUGAACAAGCACAACUUGGUAUACUAGUUGAGCCCAUUGGUGCUCAUGAUGCGGUUAGCGAGGUCUUAGGAAAGGAGCAUCUAUCAUGACUUCAUUGCUUGGGAUUCGGGGUAAAUCCUAAGCAUGCUUUUGGAAACCCCGAGUCUAAAGGGUCCACUACCUCCACAAUUACAUCCAAUCAACAAGCAGAUCUGAGUCAUACAACUUGAGUCAGAAGUGAGUGUGAUGCAGGCCAACAUGGAGGCUAUAGAUGCAAAGAGGUCACAGAUGCAUGCCUUGUUGCAACAAUUCUCUCAACAAUAUGGAAUCCCUAUUCCAAUCCCCCCUUCACAUUCAGUUCAACCUAAGAUGUUACAUUCAGUUGAACCUAAGAUGCCGAACCACACAAUUAGCUCUUUUUUUAUUAGCAACUAUGUAUUUUUGUUAGUACAGAGCACUAAUUACCAAACCACACAAUUAGUAUAGAGCAUUGAAGCUUCUAUUCUUGAAACUUGAUUGGUGCCUGUAGAGGCUUUAAAUGGAUUAUUAGAACAAGAGAUAACAGAGAGGAAGAGAGGUUUUGGAUGGAUUGCUAGUGUGAAUCUUUCCCACAGACAGUUGACUAUCUGCUAUUACAUUGCAAAUUUUCUCACUCAGUCUGGAUCAGGAUACUUGGCCUUUUUGUUGUUAAAUGUUGCUAUUUGGUUUUGAAUUCCUGGGGGGUGGGGGGGAGGGGGUGUUGAGUCUUUAGGGUAUAAGCAAGAGAGGAAAAAUUUCUUGGGGAAUAAUUCUGGUAGUUGUGUUAUGGCUUCUGUGGCAAGAGAGCAAUGAAAGGACUUUUAAAACUAAAAGCAGCCAACUCAUCAGAUUUAGUAGUCCAAAAGAUUGUGGGCAAGUUACAUUCUUGGUUAGCAGCUCUUAGUUUAUAGGGUCCCCACUCACGUGUCCUCCCAACAUAUAAAACAAAACCCCCAAGACUCCAACUUGGUGAUAUAUCUUGUAAGUUAACAUCUCAAGUUUGUAUUGGGGAGAUGCAUCUAGCCUUUCUCGAAUGGCAAACAUGAGAUGUGGUCUAUAGCUUCCAAGUAAUUUUGAAGGCUACUCAGUCCUUGUGCAGUUCAUUUUAAGGGGGAAAAGUGAAAAAUGUGAUUUUCUUCUCCAUCUCUAUUAUGUUUGAGAAAUGUAUGGCAGAUAGUCCAUAAAGAGAAUCUCAAUGUUACAGGCCUGAACACAGUUAAUUUAGCAGUUGGUGUACUUGUAGAUUAUUUACAUAUGGAAUUCCUUAUAAACUUGUUAGUGUAUCUUUAAGAAUAUGAAGUAAUUCAAGAUGCAGUGUGCAUAUUGAAUGGGAAUAUUGAACUAGGUUUAUGUUCUAGGAAAAUCAAAAUAAAAACUAUAAAAAAUUAGCACCUAGACCUGCAAAUAAAUAAUGGAUAACCUGAACCAUAAGUUCGUUGUUCAACUUCAAAGAUUAUCGGUUGUAUCAUUAUUUUUUUUUCUCUAAUUUUGUUAUAUGUUCUAUAAGCUAUCUGCCAUGCAGUAGCUGCUUUUUAAUUUUUUUUUUUUUUUAUGUUAUAUGUUAAAUGUUCUUUAAUCUACCCAUAAAAGGACAUGCACAAAUAAUAAAGACAACCUGUAUGGAUUAUGAAUCAAAACCAAAAACAAGAGUAGUGUAUUGUUUAGAACUCAAACAGGUAAUCGGUCUUUAUGCUUUGUGAAUUACACUUUGUGAAUUAGAAGUUUCCUAGAGUUUGCUUUGACAUGAUUAUUCUAACAAGGGCCUUAACCUAUCAUUCCCUAACCCCCUUUAAACUUGAAUAAGGUCAUUAGAUGGAAUGACAUGCAGUUCUAACAAGAAGGCCUAGGGACUAUUUUCAACUUUAGAACAUGCAGUUAUGAAAUACCUCAGGUGCUUGGGUGGUUGGAAGGUUUGCAUUGAUGGAAUGACAAGAGUAAGUUUAUUUGGAACCACAAAAUUUCCUAAGUCUUGAUCUUGCCUUUUCUUCCAUUGGCCUUAUAGAGUAAGUUAAGUUUCCAUUUAGCAAUAGUCAUCACCGUAGGCUCAUAUUGAUUAAAAAUAGAGAGAGAGAGAGAGAGAGAGAGAGAGAGAGGGUGGAAAACCUACCCAGCCAACAUCACUUAUGUAGUGGUAGUCGCUUGGUCUUUAGUGGUAGUUUUAAUUGAUUGCCGCUAAAGAUCAAUAUUUCUAGCGCUAGUCACCAAAUAACUUUAUGAUAGUUUCAACUUUCUUAUUCUUUUUUUUAGUUUAUGAGAAACACUUUACUCAUAUUUUUUAAUGCUUCUAGAUGCAGAGCCAUGGGUUGGCAAAUAUUCCAGCUCAGGGUGGAAAUUUCCACCCCACUCAUGAAGUAACACCGCCAAACCUAAUACAUGAAUUAGCAACCCCUCCAAUUCAUAGUGGAGAUAAUUCUCAUCCCACUCCAGAGGUACUAUCACCAAAUCCGAUGCAAGAGCCUAGAAAAAAGCCAUCUCAAGUGUCUACAAUAAAGGGGGAGAAGGGGAAGGGAAAGGGAAAUGCACUCUUUUGAUGAGUGUUUUAUUUUAUUUUUGUAAUAUUUUUGGCAAGGGAAAGGCACUUUUGAUGAGUUUUCUAUUUUCCUUUUUUUGUAAUCUUUUAAUUUCAUUUGAACUAAUAUGUGAACA